UUUGUUGUGCCAUAAUUCUGAAUGCUUUGAGAAAUUCAAAGAAUUUAAGACAAAAAUGGAGAAAUAAUAAAAGAAAUGUAUCAAAUUCCUACGAUCUGAUCAUGGUGGUGAGUACCUUUCUAAUGAGUUCAUUAGUUAAUUAUCAGGAUAAGAAAUUACGUCUCAAAUGUCUAUACCUAGAACUUUACAAUUAAAUAGUGCAGUAGAAAGAAGAAAUAGGACUCUUUUAGAAAUGGUUAGAUCUAUGAUGAGUUACUUUGUUUUGGGGUUAUGCAGUAGAAACUACAAACUAUGUUCUGAACUUAGUUCCUUCCAAGUCAUUACUUGUGACACCCAUAAAAAUAUAGACUGGGCAUAAAACUAGUAAUAUGUUCGAAUUUAGGGAUGUCUAGCAUAUUUGGGGAUAUCCAGCACAUGUGAUGAAAGAAAUGGCAGAAAAGUUGGAACCUAGAUUAGAAGUAUGUUUUUUUAUUAGGCACCCUAAAGGAAUAAAAGGUGGUCUGUUAUACAAUCCUACAGAAAAAAGUCAUUGCCAAUGCCAAGUUUCUAGAAAUAGAUUUUAUAAUAAACCACAUUUCUAGUAGUAAAUUAUUUUAACAAGAAUUAACAAAGAUGUAACAAAUCAAUAUACUGAUGAUAAUGAAAACCAAAUUCAAACUCUCGGUGUUAGAGUUAACAUAUUGAUGGGUGGUGAUUUUACCAUUCAUUUGCACUUAUCAUGUGUGCACAUUACCUUGUUUUGAAUGAAUAAAUAAGACAUUAAUGUGAUUAAUUGCACUAAUAUCUAUAUUUUGCAGGCAAAGAGUUGAUGAUAUAGAAGAAUAUGGAUUGGGGAUGAAAAUGAUCAGAAGAAAGCAAGAAAGUGCAGCUAAACACCUGGAGCAGGAAUGGCCUAUGUUACCACGAUCACGGUCCUCAGAUUGAGAUCGCGGUCAGUUAAUAAGGUCAAUCUGCUGUGGUCACGUAAUCUAAUCACGGUCACGGUCGCAAUAGCCACGGUCGUGGUCAAGCCUAUGAGAUCGCGGCCUAGCAGGAUUAAUAAGCAAGGGAAUUUUGGUCAAAUGGGAUAGAUGAAUCAAAUUCCUGUAGAAGACCCAAAGUUCUUUUCCAUAGGGACAUCAUGCAAUAGAGUAAAUUGAAAAGAUAAAAAUGGCAUUGUUGCCGAGGAGUGGAAUAAAUAUUUCACUUGUGCGGUGUGAUUUUUACUUAGGUAUACCCAGGGUGGUGUGAUUUACCUUCUUUGUUGAUUUUGAUUCUUGCUUAGGUGAGUAUUUUUAUUUACAUAUAAUCAUGAUUCAAGACGGUUUGGAGUGCCUUGGUACCGAAGGUCAUGAGGGCGUCAUUUGUAUUUCGCCCACCGAAAAGCAUGGUGUUUUUUUUUCACAAGCGUAAUGUUU
rnacentral:lncRNA from 1 species